ACAGCUGCCACUGGGGGACACCACAACCUGCAGGUACUUUCCUGCCCCACUUUCUUAUCCUCAUAGCCUUCUCAAAGGGGGCAGUGGUAUACCCCUCUUCACGGGGUGGGAAACUGAGGUUCACAGGGUCAAGGUCAACGGCACUUUCCCUUAAGUCAGCGAACUGGGAUUCCUGGUUAAGGCCACUUGCCCAGCAUAUCCUGGAGGCAAAUCGGGCCAGGCGAGGCCAGCUCCGUCCUCGCUACUGGGCAUAGGGCAGCAGCCCAGGAGGACGAAGGCCAGAUGCCUGGGCUCCCUGAGGAACUCGGAGCCCCCCUUCCCGCCCGCCCCCAGCCCUCCACUGGCUUUCCCUCAGCAGAAUGUGACUCCACGCUCCCGCAGACAAAUCGCCCCUAGAAAACGCCGCCGCUCAGAGCCUGGGGGCAGGACAGAGGCUGUUUCGGUGCAAGUGGACUUUCCAAAUCCACCCCCACCCGGGCAGCUGGGGCGAUACACCCCACCCCGCGCCCUGAGCACUGCUGCGAACCCGAACCCGGGCUGCGUCCCGUCCUUGCAACGCCCCCUUGGCGCGCGCACGACCUCGGCGGGUCACGGAGAAGGAAACUGAGGCUCCGAGGCGGAGGAAAUCGCCCAAGAUGAGAAAACGUGACCUUCUGGACGUGAAGUGAUAUACUCAAGGCCAUCCAACUAGGAAAUGGAAGCCGGGUCUCCGAGGGCCCUGGGAGGUACCCUCACCAGAGAGACUUCCAUACAAAUGUGCGGCUUCAUGAAUUGUCUUAAAAUGAGCAUGGUGUAACCACCACCCAGGUCGAGGAUUCUCCAGACUAGAAAGUAGAGGCUCGGAAGAGUCGGGCAACUUGACCCCAAGGGAGCACCCCCCGGUAAGCAGCGGAUGCACGGGGAUUCAUUUGUUCACGUGACACAUACGGUUGAGGUCCUACUAUGGGCCAAACACUGGGCCGGAUCCCUGCUCUCAGGGAGCUCACAUCCUAGAGGUGGAGAGAGAUUGUGCAGCAGGUAAUCACGCAAGUGAACCAGGUGAGGGCAGGCUGUGGAAGCGGCCUGAAGGAGGGACACAGGGCAGAGAAGACCGCUUCGGACAGGCUGGUCAGCGUGGCCUCCCUGAGGAGGUGAGUUGGGAGCAGAGGCCUGAAUGAGGAGGGGCUGCCCACACAAGGGAAACAGCCAUCUUGGCAGAGAGAACAGCAAGCAAAAAGUCCCCAUUGAGGGAACACGCCUGGGUGUUUGGGGAACAGGGAGAGGGCCGGUAUGUCUGGGCAACAACGAUGAGGGACAAGUGGAAUGAGGGCGAGAUCAAGGCAGGCAGGGGCUAGUCACACAGGGUCCUAUAGGCUGCAGGAAGAUCGGAUUUGAUUCCAAGUGCCAUGGGAGGUUCCUGGGGGGGCUUUACCUACGGGAGGGGCACAAUGAAAUUUAUAGUCCCGAAGGGGCACUCUGGGCGCUGUGUGGGGCAGGAGAGGAAACAGCCAGGCUAGUCUGAUGGCCAUGGCUUCAAUUCAGGGGUGACAGCUGAGACUAGGAUGGGGCAGCAGAGGUGUAGACAGGCCAAGGAAACAGAAUCCCUGCGCCUCCCAGAGUUUGCUUUUUUAAUUGAGGUAUAGUUCACAUCCCAUAAAAUUUACCAUUUCCAAGUGUACAAUUCAGUGAUUUUUAGUAUAUGCACAAGGUUGUGCAACCAUGACCGCUAUCUAAUUCCAGAACCUUUUCGUCACCUUCCAAAGAAACCCCGUACUCAUGAGCUGUCACUCCCCACUUCCUCCUUCUCCUACUCCCUCCCGUCACUAAUUUCUAAGGAUUGGCCGAUUUGGGACAUUUCAUAGAGAUGAAAUCAUGCAAUAUAUGGUCUUCCACGUCCGGCUUCUUUCACGAGCAUAACGCUUUCGGUUCAUCCAUGUUGUCCCAUGAAUCAGAACUUCAUUUCUUUUUAUUGCCAAAUCAUAUACCAUUGUAUGGAUAUAUCACCUUUUCCUUACCCCUUGGCCAGUUGAUGGACAUUUGGGUUGUUUCUACUCCUUGGCUAUUGUGAAUAAUAUUGCUAUAAAUAUUCCCACUCAAGUUUUUGUGUGGACAUACAUUUUCAGUCCUCCUAAGUACCUUUCUAGGAGCGGAAUCACUGGGUCAUGUGGUGAUUCUGUAUUUAAUUUUUUUCGGGAGCUGCGGGACUAUUUUCCAAAGAAGCUGUGCCAAUUUGCACUUUCUCCAGCUGUGUAUGAGAGUUGUGAGCUUCCACAUCCUCACAAGUCAACCCUCGCUGGCCGUCUUUUUCAUUCUGGCCAUUCUAGAAGGGGUGAAGUGGGAUCUCAUUGCCGUUUUGACUUGCAUCCCUCUGAUGACUAACGAUUGGGCAUCUUUCAUGUGCGUGUCGGCCAUUUGUGCGUCUUCUUUGGGGAAAUGUCUAUUCAAGUCUUUUGUCCACUUUUUAAUAGGGCCCCAUGACGGAUAAGACCCUGCACCACCCAGGUCCUUGCUAUUUCUCUAAUUCCUUCUCUUACUCCUCUCCUCUCACUCACUUGAUUCCAGCCUUUCUGGCCUACUUACUGUUCUUGGAAUCUGCCUCGGGACCUUUUCACAUUCUGUUCUCUCUGCCCGGAAUCCUCUUCCCCAGAUAUCUACAUGUCUCGCUCCUUCACUUCAUCUGGGUCUCUGCUCCAGUGUCCCCUCUUCAAGGUCACUCUCCGUUGCCUUGCCCUGCUGUGUUGUUAUACAUGAACUUGUCUGUAUGUCGUCAGCUUCAUCAAAGACUCUGUCAUGUUCUUGUGUUCCCACCACCCAGAUAGCGCCUGGCACAUGGUAGGCACCCAGUACAAAUUUGUUAAACGAAUAAGUGCAAGAAUGGAGACCAAGUCUGAGAUCAGACAGCUGUUAGAUAUCCCAACUUAAAAUUUCUAAGCAUGCCCUGUUCACAGUGAGGUCAGGAGAGGAGG